rnacentral:sRNA from 1 species
GCUGGGCGUGGUGACACAUGCCUGUAAUCCCAGCGGUUUGGGAGGCUGAGGCAGGAGGAAUGUGAGUUCAAAGCCAGCCUCAGCAAUUUACUGAGGCCCUAGGCAACUCAGUGAGACCCUGUCUCUG